rnacentral:rRNA from 1 species
GACGAACGCUGGCGGCGUGCUUAACACAUGCAAGUCGAGCGGUAAGGCCCUUUCGGGGGUACGACGAGCGGCGAACGGGUGAGUAACACGUGGGUGACCUGCCCUCAGCUCUGGGAUAAGCCUGGGAAACCGGGUCUAAUACUGGAUAUGACUCCAUGACGCAUGUUGUGGGGUGGAAAGCCUUGUGCGGCUGAGGAUGGGCCCGCGGCCUAUCAGCUUGUUGGUGGGGUGANGGCCUACCAAGGCGACGACGGGUAGCCGGCCUGAGAGGGCGACCGGCCACACUGGGACUGAGACACGGCCCAGACUCCUACGGGAGGCAGCAGUGGGGAAGUCUUGCGCAAUGGGCGAAAGCCUGACGCAGCGACGCCGCGUGAGGGAUGACGGCCUCGG